CUUGCGUGGAGCCCCAGAUCGAGGGAGAUUAUCAGUGGUCUUGUAUGUCUUCCAUUUCCUAAUAAUUGCUCCCACAGUUGAUUUCUUCAAACCAAGCUGCUUACCUAUUGCAGAUUCAGUCUUCCCAGCCUGGUGCAGGUCUACAAUUUUGUUUCUGGUGUCCUUUGACAGCUCUUUGGUCUUGGCCAUAGUGGAGUUUGUAGUGUGACUGUUUGAGGUUGUGGACAGGUGUCUUUUAUACUGAUAACAAGUUCAAACAGGUGCCAUUAAUACAGGUAACGAGUGGAGGACAGAGGAGCCUCUUAAAGAAGAAGUUACAGGUCUGUGAGAGCCAGAAAUCUUGCUUGUUUGUAGGUGACCAAAUACUUAUUUUCCACCAUAAUUUGCAAAUAAAUUCAUAAAAAAUCCUACAAUGUGAUUACAUGGAUUUCUUUUCCGCAUUUUGUCUGUCAUAGUUGACGUGUACCUAUGAUGAAAAUUACAGGCCUCUCAUCUUUUUAAGUGGGAGAACUUGCACAAUUGGUGGCUGACUAAAUACCUUUUUGCCCCACUGUAUGUAAAUGUGAUAUUUCAGUUUUUUUCUUUUUAAUAAAUUAGCAGAAAUUUCUAAACCUGUUUUUGAUUUGUGAUUAUUGGGUAUUGUGUGUAAAUUGCUGAGGGGAAAAAAUAUUUAAUCCAUUUUAGAACAAGGCUGUAACGUAACAAUGUGGAAAAGGGGUCUGAAUUCUUUCCCAACGCACUUUGUCUAGUCCUAGAGACAAUCCAAGAAUUCAUAUGAAAACUAAAUAUAUGGGCUAAUACAAGACAAGCAUGCAAUCCUUUCAUGGUCCCACUAUGAAUGCUUUGAAAUCCCCUGCAGGACCACUGUUGUGUUCCAGAAAACAGAAUCAUUAUAUCGAUCUGGUUCAUGUAAAAAGCUGAACUUGAAUAUGGGUUGUCAAGUAACCCACACCAUGCACAUUUUACACAUCUGUAUUGCUCAAAAAUAUGAAUUCAUUUCAGGGUCAUCUGGCCAACUCAAUGAUCUUGCAUUCUGGAACAGACAGACCACAUACCAACUCAGCACUGAUGAGAAACACCGAGUACAAUAGGAGAGAAAUAACUGGCAAAACAAAUGCAGGAUUUUAUUAGUUGUGGUAAGUAGUUGUGCAGUUCAGUAGCCGUGUGGUCAGUAGUUGUGGUGAGUAGUUGUGUGGUUGUUGUUGUGGUCAGUAGGUGUGGUCAGUAGUUGUGGUGAGUAGUUGUGUGGUUGUUGUUGUGGUCAGUAGUUGUGGUGAGUAGUUGUGUGGUUGUUGUUGUGGUCAGUAAUUGUGGUGAGUAGUUGUGUGGUUGUUGUUGUGGUCAGUAGGUGUGGUCAGUAGUUGUGUGGUUGUUGUAGUCAGUAGUUGUGGUGGGUAGUUGUGUGGUCAGUGGCUGUGGUCAGUAGUUCUGUUGCUGGUUCUUUGGGCCCUAUAAUAUGGACAUGAUCAGCAGAUGUGUUGUGGUCAUAGUUGUGUGGUAGUCAGCAGUUGUGUUGUGGUCAGUAGAUGUAGUUAGUGGUUGUGAGGUUGUGGUCAGUAGUUGUGUGAUUCAGACGUUGUGUGGUCAGUAGCUAUGUUCAGUAGUUCUGUUGUUAUUUAGUAGGUGUGUGGUUGUGGUCAGUAGUUGUGUGGUUCUCGUCAGUAGUUGCGGUCUGUAGUUUGUCAGUAGUUGUGGUCAGUGGCUGUGGUCAGUAGUUCUGUUGCUGGUUCUUUGGGCCCUAUAGUAUGGACAUGAUCAGUAGUUGUGUUGUGGUCAGUAGUUGUGUGAUUCAGACGUUGUGUGGUCAGUAGCUAUGUUCAGUAGUUCUGUUGUUAUUUAAUAGGUGUGUAGUUGUGGUCAGUUGUUGUGUGGUUGUCGUCAGUAGUUGCGGUCUGUAGUUUGUCAGUAGCUGUGUGGCUGAGGUCAGCUGUUGUGUGGUUCAGUUGUUGUGUGGUCAGUAGUUAUGUUCAGUAGUUCUGUUGUUAUUCAGUAGUUGUGUGGUUUUGGUUAGUAGUUGUGGUCAGUAGUUAUGCUCAGUGGUUGUGGUCAGUAGUCAUUUUGUUGGUACUUUCGGCCCUACUGUAUGGAGUCGUGUGGUCAGUAGUCAUGUGGUUUUGGUCAGUAAUUGUGUGGUUGUAGUCAGUAGCUGUGUGGUCAGUAGUUGUGGUCAGUAGUUGUGUGUUUGAGCCGUAGUUCUGUGGUCAAUAGUGUUGGUCAGUAGUGGUCAGUAGGUAUGGUCGGUAGUUGAUUGGUUGUGGUAAUUAGUUAUGAUCAGUGGAUCUGGUCAGUAGUUGUGAUGUCAGUAUUUGUGGUCAGUAGGUGUGAUCAGUAGUUGUGGUUGUGGUCAUUAGUUAUUUUGCUGGUUCUUUGGCCCUACAGUAUGGACAUGGUCAGUAGUUGUGGUCAGUAAUUGUGGUUGUAGUCAGUAGUUGUGCAGUUCAGUAGCUGUGUGGUCAGUAGUUGUGUGGUUGUGGUCAGUAGUUGUGGUCAGUGGUUCUGGUCGGUCGUUAUUUGGUCAGUAGUUUUGGUCAGUCGUUGUGUCCUUUGGACCCUACAUUAUGGACGUGGUCAUUCGUUGUGGUCAGUAAUCCAGGUCAGUAGUUGUGUGGUUCAGUAGUUGUGUAGUUGUAUGGUCAGUAGUUGUGUAGUUGUGGUCAGUAGUUGUGAUCAGUAGUGUUGGUCAGUAAUGCUUAGUGUCUGUGUGGUUAAGUAGUUGUGUGGUUAAAUACACAGCUGUACAUUUCGAUGAAACAUGGUGAAGCCACAAAAUUGCCUACCCUGGAAGCCUGUGUUUCAUACUUAAGGAAGUGGAUGGCGGCAAAUGUUCUUCUUUUAAACUCGGACAAAACAGAGAUGCUAGUUCUAGUCCCUAGAAACAAAGAGAUCUUCUGUUGAAUCUGACAAUUAAUCUUGAUGAUUGUACAGUUGUCUCAAAUAAAACUGUGAAGGACCUCGGCGUUACUCUGGACCCUGAUCUCUCUUUUGAAGAACAUAUCAAGAAUAAUUCAAGGACAGCUUUUUUCGAUCUACGCAACAUUGCAAAAAUCAGAAACUGUCCAAAAAUUAUGCAGAAAAAUUAAUCCAUGCUUUUGUCACUUCUAGGUUAGACUACUGCAAUGCUCUACUUUCCGGCUACCUGG
rnacentral:lncRNA from 1 species